UGUCAUCAGCUCCCUCAUAAUGGCUAGGUGGGGAGAGGGAAGGAUGAUCUAACAGAGGGAAUUAUUGUGGGCAGAGCCUCCAAAAGUUAAGGCACCCAGGAAUACAGGCACAGACAACAGGAGGCACCAGCCCUGUUACUUUGCCCCACAGAAAGGCCAACCUCAGAGUGGAGCCAACACGGAGGAGAGAGGGGCUGGGACUAAGCAUAUUCCGAAGCUGGGGGCAGUGUGCCAAAUACCAAUGGAAAAAACCUCGGGUCCCUCAGUUUCUGAGCGGCUCCGGAGUCACCACUCUGACAGAAGAGGAGGGAAUCACACAAGCAGUGGAAGGCAUGCCAACAAAGACUUCAGAAACCAUCAGAGCCAGAGGAAAUAUCGGGCAGGAACUUCAUAUUCCCAUCUACCUCAGGAAAGACAUGCUAUAAACACCAGAUAUGGGGACCAUGCUAAAUCCAACCAAUCACAUCGAACUGAACAGGAGCUGGUAGGACCCUUGCCUGUAAAGAGAUCUCGACAUUUUUGCCCCCGAGCAUCAAAGAAAAGCAAGGGCCGCACUUCGCACAAGAGAAAUUCCAAGAAAAAGUCAAGAGGGAGAGGCCGAAAAUAGGCAUACAGGAAAGGAGACCACAUGAAGAUUCACCAGUUAGGGGCUCCUGAGUCUCCUGACCCUCUUCUAUCUCCAUCAGUAAACAAAAAGACUGUGGGUCUGGGGAAAAGUUUGUUUUGACAUAAUUAAAAAGACCCCAAAUCUUUUCCCUCA